UUUUCCCCCUUGGGGACACUAAGUAAGCUUUGUGUUGUGCACCUGCAUUUUGACUGCAACUCAUCACAUAACAACAGGUGUAAAAUUUUCCACUUGUGGUAUCAUGUUGAUGCUCAAAAGUUUCAAAUUUGAGAGCAUUUUGGAUUUCAGAUUUUUGGAUUAGGUAUGCUCAACUUAUAGUACACAUUUAAAUAAUUUGGGGGUGAUAUAGAAAAAAAACCAUUUGUAAAAAUUGUGCUAUUGGCAAAUUAAUUUAGCAAAAACUUAGUACUUUAAAAUAUGCAGUGAUCAAUGCUUUUCAGGUCAGUUGUUAAAAUUUGAGGAAAUAUAGAAGCAUAUCUAGAACAAGAAUGUUCAGAAAGAUUAUGUUACUGUGUUGACCAUGUUAGAGUUUGCCUGAGCCCUUGCCAUUGGAAAACAGCAAAGGAUGAUAAAUUCCCCCACCCUUUCCCCUUUCAUGUUCCAAAAUGUCUUAUCCCAAAUAACUACUGUUCCCACAUAUACUUCAAUAUCCUUAAGUGACUCAGAUAAGAUUUCUAUCCAUCUUGCUCAUGAUUCCCUUGUUUUAUAAUAUCCCAGGUUUUCAGUCUCUUCCUUGAGAUGUUCCCCGUUAAUGAAGAAUCUCUCUGUUGCAAUGACCUGAAGGCAUGGUUCAGAGGGCAUUCUUGCAGGAGAACAUCUCUGCUAGCUCAAAAUCUUCACAUUCACUAUUGUUAUCAAACCAAACUGGAGUCUGCAAGCCCAGCCCAGGAAGAGCAGAUAUUCAUACCAAGGUUUGCAGUGGGAAAAGGAAGGUGUUUAAUUGCAAGGCGUCAAGCUGGGAAAACUGGGCAGCUCAUGCUUAAGACUUGAGCUCCCAGAUGGCUUACAGAUAGUGAAGAAGGUGCCAGCUUCCCCUUCUGCCAUGAUCUUGGCUGACUAUGGAUGUUGGAUGCUAGCUCUCCUCAGAAAGAUCAAAGUUACAGGCGAAUGGCCAUGAUUUAAAUGGAAAUCUGAGGGAGUGGAGCAAGGACCUGUUGGAGCAUCCAUGGGAACAACCUGGGGCACAAAAGAGGAAAGUAGCAAGAGACUGGCAAAGAUUGUCUCCCUAGAAACCUGGACCAUGAAAAGGGACUGCUUUCUCUCUAAUCACUUGUCUUAUUAGUUGGUCAUUGACUGUGAAAAAAGAAAGCCUUCCAGUUUUAUGAGAUAGAACUUAAAUGGUCCUUUGGAGAUUGUGAACUUCACAUCCUUAGAGAAAAUGUCAUGAAAAUUGAAGUCCUCAUGGUUUACGGAGUUUGCUCUUGUUGCCCAGGCUGGAGUGCAGUGGC